rnacentral:misc_RNA from 1 species
UUAAGUUCAGCGGGUAUUCCUACCUGAUCCGAGGUCAAACCUGUUAAAAAUAGGGGGGUUUAACGGCAGGACGUCAGCACCGGCACCUGAAGCGAGAAAAGAUUACUACGCUUGGGGUCGGCACGACUCCGCCACUCCAUUUGAGGAGCUACCCAGAGGUAGGCUCCCAAAACCAAGCAACUGAGGCUUGAUGGUCGAAA